rnacentral:RNase_P_RNA from 1 species
UAAGUAGGUCGGUCUAUCGCGCCGCAAGGUGAGGAAAGUCCGGGCAGCACAGAGCACCACAACGGUUAACGGCCGUCAGGCAGUAAUGUUUGGUCCCUGCUACAGAGACGAGUGAUGUGAAACGAGCACACUGUGGGCUGCAAUUCCAAGUAAACCGACGUUUGAGCGCUGCUCGUGCGAGUCGGAGGGUAGGAAGCGUUAGAUUAAUGAUAGACGCCCGCAAGGGUACAGAACCCGGCUUAUAGACCUGCUUCCCCC